rnacentral:tRNA from 1 species
GCUGCUGUGGCACGGCGGGGCGGCGCUGCUGCUGCUGGCGCUGACGGCCGGGCUCGGCGACCGGCUGCUGCU